AUAACAAUGCCAUUUUGAAAUCACUAAAUGAAGGACAUACAUAUUUGAGGAAAUAAUAAUCCCCUUCCCCCUACCCCACUCCCAAGUCAACCAAAAAAUCUCUAUUAGCGCACUACAGCAGCUUCGUGCAAAGACCUGAAAGCCUUUUGAUUUUCUGCUUGGCUGACUGACCAGACGUGAUGAGGAUCUGGACAAGCAAGACAGUUGUCCAAAUGUGAUGCUUGUGCGUUUUCUCGGGGCCAUCGAGGGCUGAGUAACUACAGAAUGUAACUUCAGCAGAGAAGCUCAAGUGCUAAGAGCUCAUUUUGUACAAGAGCCUACAGCAAAGAAUAGGAAAGAAUUCAUGACUGAUAUAUUUUGGGUCUCUAAAGUAGUCUAAGAAAGGACUGGUAACAGACAUUUGAGUUGUGUCCAGGCUGGGGCCACUAUGAACAAUGCUGCUAUGAAUACCAGUGUGUGAGUUCUUGCGUGGACAUAUUUUCAUUUCUCCUGGGUGGAAACCAAGGAGUGCAAUGGCCAGAUCAUAUAGCAGGGUCCACAUGCUGCGGUGGCCUCAGCCCGAAGAUUGUCAGGCUGCAUUCUCAGGACUCACCUAGGCUUGCCUCCUCACCUGGAGCUGUCAACUUGCAGUUAAUUCUGCAGAUCGAACACAUGCCCUAUGUCUACUCCUCUUCACACCCACUGAGAUAGCCAUAAAGGACUAAAGUAGGAAGAAGUGCAUGGCAGAGGAGAUGCAAAAGAUGUCAACAAAAGAUUUUUGUUACAGAUACAAAAAACAGGAAGAUGGCUGUUUAAGUUGGCUCCAUUAGCAGCAACAGAACUUUGCAAAUGGCUAAUAAUGGUGGUUUGAUAAUGUCAUCUGAUGUUUCGAAAAGAAAAGCAGUUCAGCCCAAUAAUGGCUUUU